AUACGUAGGGGGCGAGCGUUGUCCGGCAUGAUUGGGCGUAAAGGGCGCGUAGGCGGCGCGGUACGUCUGGAGUGAAAGUCCUGCUUUCAAGGUGGGAAUUGCUUUGGAUACUGCCGCGCUUGAGUGCAGGAGAGGUUAUCGGAAUUCCCGGUGUAGCCAUGAAAUGCGUAGAGAUCGGGAGGAUCACCAGUGGCGAAGGCGGGUAACUGGACUGCAACUGACGCUGCGGCGCGAGAGUGUGGGGAGCAAACAGGAUUAGAUACCCUGGUAGUCCACACUGUAAACGAUGAAUGCUAGGUGUAAGAGGUAUCGACCCCUUUUGUGCCGGAGUCAACACAAUAAGCAUUCCGCCUGGGGAGUACGGCCGCAAGGUUGAAACUCAAAUGAAUUGACGGGG
rnacentral:rRNA from 1 species